UUCGUAAUCUAGGUGACCCAAAUAAGACGCUGGUGUACUUAGUUUGAUUUCGACAAAAAUCAAUUUUUGGUGAAAAAAUUCGAUACGGGGGGGUAUACCCGAAAAAUGAAAAAUUCCAAACUUUGAAGGUCGAUAUCUCGGCUUCUAUGGGAGCUAUCGGGAAAAUUCCAACGGUUUUGUCUUAGUUUUGUCGUUCUGAAUCCAACGAGACCAUCCGCAAGGUCGUAGCUCUUACGAUAGCCGAGAUAUGGCAUUUUUGAUGCCCAUUUUUGGCCUCAAAAACGGACGUCGAAAACGACUUUUUCACGAUUUUCAAAGUGCUCUCAUUCCCUUAGUUCUGCUCGGAUCCUGUUAUAACCCGGUGUUUUCGUAAUCUAGGUGACCCAAAUAAGACGCUGGUAUACUUAGUUUGAUUUCGAAAAAAAUCAAUUUUUGGUGAAAAAAUUCGAUACGGGGGGGUAUACCCGAAAAACGAAAAAUCCCAAACUUUGAAGGUCGAUAUCUCGGCUUCUAUGAGAGCUAUCGGGAAAAUUCCAACGGUUUUGUCUUAGUUUUGUCGUUCUAAAUCCAACGAGACCAUCCGCAAGGUCGUAGCUCUUCUAAUAGCUGAGAUAUGGCAUUUUUGAUGCCCAUUUUUGGCCUCAAAAACGGACGUCGAAAACGACUUUUUCACGAUUUUCAAAGUGCUCUCAUUCCCUUAGUUCUGCUCGGAUCCUGUUAUAACCCGGUGUUUUCGUAAUCUAGGUGACCCAAAUAAGACGCUGGUGUACUUAGUUUGAUUUCGAAAAAAAUCAAUUUUUGGUGAAAAAAUUCGAUACGGGGGGGUAUACCCGAAAAACGAAAAAUCCCAAACUUUGAAGGUCGAUAUCUCGGCUUCUAUGAGAGCUAUCGGGAAAAUUCCAA